CCUACGGGGGGCAGCAGUGAGGAAUAUUGGUCAAUGGGCGGAAGCCUGAACCAGCCAAGUAGCGUGCAGGAUGACGGCCCUACGGGUUGUAAACUGCUUUUAUACGGGAAUAACGCGCCUUACGUGUAGGGCUUUGCAUGUACCGUAUGAAUAAGGACCGGCUAAUUCCGUGACAGCAGCCGCGGUAAUACGGAAGGUCCGGGCGUUAUCCGGAGAUAGUGGGUUUAAAGGGAGAGUAGGCGGCAUGUCAAGCGUGCUGUGAAAUGGCCGGGCUCAACCCGGUCCUUGCAGCGUGAACUGGCGUGCUUGAGUCCGCGGAAGGCAGGUGGAAUUCGUCGUGUAGCGGUGAAAUGCUUAGAUAUGACGAAGAACCCCGAUUGCGAAGGCAGCUUGCUGGAGCGGAACUGACGCUGAUGCUCGAAAGCGCGGGUAUCGAACAGGAUUAGAUACCCCUGUAGUC
rnacentral:rRNA from 1 species